rnacentral:pre_miRNA from 1 species
UUUGUACUCCCUCCAUCCCAAAAUUCUUGUCUUAAAUUUGUCUAAAUACGGAUGUAUCUAGUUACGUUUUAGUGUUAGAUACAUCCGUAUCUAAACAAAUGUAAGACAAGAAUUUUGGGACGGAGGGAAUACUAC